AGAACUUAUCUUCUUCAUAAUAUAUGAUUUGAUUUUAAUCCUUUUCAAAUCAUCUCUAGUCUAAUGAAACUUUAAUUGUAUAAUAUCACAUGAUCUUGUAUCUUGAAAGAUCAAUCUCAAAUUGGCAAUACUAGCGUAUGAUCUUAAAGUACCUACAACAUAUUUAAUAGUAUUUUCUAGGUGCCCAAUUUCCUUUGGAUCCUCUUGAGUUAGAUCCCUUCCUCA
rnacentral:lncRNA from 1 species